CUACGGGGGGCUGCAGUCGAGAAUCUUCCGCAAUGCGCGAAAGCGUGACGGAGCAAUGCCGCGUGCACGAUGAAGGCCUUAGGGUUGUAAAGUGCUGUCACCAGGGACGAAAAAUGACGGUACCUGGAGAGGAAGCUACGGCUAACUACGUGCCAGCAGCCGCGGUAAUACGUAGGUAGCGAGCGUUGUUCGGAUUUAUUGGGCGUAAAGGGUCCGCAGGAGGUUCCUUAAGUCUGAUGUGAAAUCCCGGGGCUCAACCCCGGAACUGCAUUGGAGACUGAGGGACUAGAGUAUCGGAGAGGUAAGCGGAAUUUCAGGUGUAGCGGUGGAAUGCGUAGAUAUCUGAAAGAACACCAAGAGCGAAGGCAGCUUACUGGACGAUAACUGACUCUCAUGGACGAAAGCGUGGGGAGCAAACAGGAUUAGAUACCCUUGUAGUC
rnacentral:rRNA from 1 species